UUUAAUAUGUCAGAUAAAUGUUUAUGAGCUUAAAAUUCAUAUAUGAAUUAAUCUUCCUUUAAUG
rnacentral:tRNA from 1 species